UGCAAAACAUAUAGACCCUCGCCGGUCUCCGUAGGCUGACAAAGAUUUUGUGCGCGAGGUGGGAAAGUAGGAGCAGUUUACGAAAACGUUGCAACGUUUCGAAACUUCUGGUGAUUUAGGAGAAAAACGGGUUAGCGUGUACUUUCGUCCUUGAAACAGGGCAGGUAGGUGUGUGGACGUGGUGUCGUGAGGACCCGUGGAGUUCCUGAAGGGAGCCUCGUGGUGGAGGUGUUCGAGAGGAAGCAGGUGGUAGUCCGAUGCUCCUUGGGUCAGACUUGGGGUGAGCGCUUCAGUACAAGGAUUAAGGCUGUCCGGACUGACAGGGGAAGCGUAGCGGUUAAGUGCUACGGCUGCUAACCAAAGGGUCGGUAGUUCGAAUCCGCCAGGCGCUCUUUAGAAACUCUGUGGGGUAGUUCUACUCUGUCCUGUAGGGUUUCCGUGAGUCGAAAUCCAAUCAACGGCGACGGUUUUUUUUUUUUUUUUUUUUUUCUCCCUACUGACAGGGUGCGGGUUCUUUGCCGAUCGUUCUGCUUGUAAGGGUUGGAGGUGGUAUUUAUGAUGAAUGCGGUGUCUGGUAAGCCUAGAUUGCCUUUAAGAGACUUGUAAAAAUGGCGCGGGGGCGGCAUCUGACCUCCUGUUACUUUGCUGGGAAGAGGGAGAAUCAGCAUCAGCCCAAGGCAGAUUCUAUAAGGCGGAGCUCAGACAUGCCUUCUCUGGCUCUUGUUUUUUACCAAUUCUGACACUAACCGUCCCUUCCAUGGCAUAUUUCUGUACUAAGUUCUGUAAUUCCUUACAGUGGCCACACAAAAGUCGCAAACUAUGCUCACGUUUAUGGGUUUUUUAGGGACGUGACAUGUUACAAUUUAGGAACGCAGGAUACAGUUUUUUGAUCAGACAGCUUUUUCUCAGCUGUGCCGGCACUGGGUUUUUUUUCUGGGUGCCUGCAGGCAGGUCUCUCUGUGGCCCUUGGCUUGUCUGUCCCUUAAUCCCUCAGCCCCUAGAGAGUCUUGGGCCGGACUGCUCUUUGCCUUAUUCGGGCUAGUAGUACACAGGUCUGUAGCCAAACCAAACCCCCCCUGCUCUUGAGUCAGUUCCGACUCAUAGCGCGUCUAUAGGGCAGAGGAGAACUGCACCAUAGAGUUUCCAAGAAGCCCCUGGCAGAUUCGAACUGCCAACCUCUUGAUUAGCAGCUGUAGCACUUAAACACUACGCCGCCAGGGUUUCCCAGCUCCGAAGAGUCACGGAUAAGGGCCCAGAGGCACCCCACCUCGUUAGGAAGCCUCCUGUCUGAAGGCUCUCAGCCUUCUUGCUCUGUGGGUUGUCUCCCCUGCCACCCAGCACCAGUCUCUGUUCUGCUGCUGUAAAAACAACUUGGGGACAGUCUCUGAUCUCUUCUAACUUCACAGGGGAAAGGAGAAUGAAGAUCAAGAGCCCCAGGCUGGUUCUUAUAAGGCAGAGGUCAGACAUCACCCCCACACGGUUUUUUACAGUUGUCAGAAGCAAGAUUCUUUGCAAUGGUUCAGACUCACGGAAGCAUGGGACAUAGUAAGAGAAAGAAGGAAGGGGCUUGGGAAGUGAACCUUUUGAUUUUUGGAUGGUUGCUUUGAUUGUUGUUGCCUGUAAUGGCUGAAAAGCUGCAGUUGAAGUGGCCUGAGGCAAAAGCCAGGCCAGAUAAGUAGAAUUAUUGAUAGGGGGCUGGGAUCUGGUUCCAUUCAGCCAGAGCUCCAAGGCCACAUGCAUAUAAAUGGAAAGCAUUAAGGUGUGGAGAAGAUGCAACUGGAAUGUUUUUAAAAAGGUUUAUGUGUUUAGGAUUAUGUAUUGAUCUGAAUGUACUAUGGAUAUUGAAUGUUCCUCCCACCUAGUGUUGUAAAGCAGACCUGAAUGUAUAGUGGAAAUGAGUAUUGGGUAUUAGAGACCGUAGAGCACAUGUAACUGCACCUUCGGCCGAGAUUUGAUUGGGGGUUUUUUAUGCUAAAAGAGGAACUAGGAUUUGCCCCAGGGAAACACAGCCUGUCGGUUUGAAUGCAGUAGCCCUGUGUAUAGAGGGUGGGGCUUAGGUUGAAAACCGGGGCCCAACCCAGAUUUGCAUUGAAGAGACUUGCAGAACCUCCCAGAACUGCUGGGAGAAUGAGAUUUGCAUUUGCAAGCAGGACCUGCAAAAAAAAAGAAAAAAAAAAGGGACUGUUUUGCCUUUUGAAUUUCAUAUAAGCAGUUUGCUGUUGGAUGCAUAGAAGUAGGAAAAGUCAGUGCCUAACAGAGAACUCCCUUCCAGGAUUGGAAGUUAAAGGGAGCCAGUGAGUAGACAGCUUGGUCGGCUUGCGUCUGACCACCUAGGUUCACUCAUGAGUGGAAGCAGGGGAAGUGCAGCAAGGAAGAGAUGGGUUGAGUUUGUACAUGUUCCACUGCUACCCGUUGACCUAGCCCAUGGGGGCUAGGGAUGAGGGAGAGAGAGAGGAAGGGCUGGGCAGGUUAGAAAUCAAGGGAGAUAUGUGGACUUCUAUGUUUAUGGGUUCGUUGAGGUAGCCCAAGGGGGCUAGGGAUGACAGUGUGAAGGGACUUUCUGAAGUUCAUAGAGGUGUGUGUGAGCUCCUGAGCCUAAGGCUGCUACCCAUUGUGACCUAGCUUGGGUGGCUAGGGAUGAGCGGACCAAAACCCCAACUGAAUGAAGAGAAAGAUACUUGACACCGUGAACUGGUGUAGAUUGCUGCAAUUUGAUGGCUUGCUCUGGAUUGGACUUUGCUUAUGGAUGCAGAAACUGAAAAUUCCAACGGGAAUAGAAAAUCUUCAAGACCAAGGAACAUGCUUGGCUCCUCAGUACUGAUUUGUAGGGAUGGGCAAUUUAGAAUUGGCUGUCUUAAAAAGUGGGGGAGAUAAAGGCAUGAAGUGGCUGGCUUACAUGUUUUCGUGGGGUGUGCUUACACUCAAAAUGAGGGGCACAAGGGAGGAUCCCCACUGAAUUAAAUUUUUCUUGAUAGCUCUGGGGAAGAAAGGGUGGGGGAGAAGCUGAUAGGAUUAUAUGAUUCAGCUGUGAGUGUUGAUUGCUAAAAGGGUUAAUUGUGAUCGUAAAAACUGUAACUCUAAGAGCUGUAAAUGUGAAUCAGUGGACUAAGGGGGAGGCGCUGCUGGACUCCAGUUGCCAAACCUAAAGACCCUUAAAGGUCUUGCCACUUUGAUACCUCAGGUGAGGCUCAGAGCAAAGGAAUAAUCUUCUUUCAGUUAAAUUUUAUCAGGGGCCAGAAAGAGAAGAUGAGUCGACUUUUAAAGAAUGUGACCAGAUCAAAUGAAAUCUACAGCAGACCUGAAUGGCCGGUAACUGAGUAACCUUACCCUGUGAACUCUUUGUCCUAUUGAAGAACUUAUUGUUAAUGACUGUUUCAUACUGGUAAACCAUUUGGGAGGGGGAAGUUACCCUCCAAAUAUGAAAGAACCCUGACUAGAAAAGCCAGGGGCUGACCUGUGGCUUUUGUAGCCCUGGUCUCCUAAUGCCUACAGAUGUGAUUGGGUGGACUGUGUAAUAGGGUAAUCGUGGCCCACCAAAGGCGUUGGUCAGUUUUGCCAUCCUGCUGGGCUUGAAACCAGGGGCGGGAAAGAGAAAAAUUCAACUGCCACCAAGGAAGAACAGCCAGGAGCCAGCAUGUUUUGAACCUGGGAUCCGUGUACUGAGAAGCUCCUGGAACCAGGAGGCAGAGAGAGACAAAGAUGUAACACUGAAUACGGAGAACCAGCAGCAGGAGACCAUGCGGUAGGCUUCCCAGCUUAUGGAGUGAAAAAGCCGAGUGCCUUUGGGCAGAGACGGGGCCAGGGAGAGGCGUUCCCGUGAGCACAACUAGGAACAGGCUGUCCUGAUGGAAGAAUUGUAUUCCAUGUGUUCCUGAUUCUGGGGAAGUAAUAGAAUUAUAUCUAUUACUUCCCUCAUAAACCCCAUAAUUGUGAGUUUUGUCUGUGAGUUCUGUGUGGCCAUUGCAAUGAACUAACGAACCCAGUAGAGAAGUAGAGAGUACCGUGGGAGGUAUGGUUGUUGUCAGAAUUGGUCAGGAUGGUGGAGAGAAGAUACGUCUAACCUCUGCCUCAUGGCAGUCAGUUUUGGGCUGUUGAUCUUGAUUCUCCGUCCCUUCUAUGAAAUGAGAGGAGGUCAGACAGUGCGCCCACGUCACUUUUACACCUGCCACUGUUUCUCUGCCGCUGUCUGACUGUCUUGCACCAGCUCCUGUGUUAUAGCUCUCUCUCUUCCUAUUUCCUGGUCUAGGAGGUUCUCAGUGCAGGGUCCUGGAACCAAAGGAUGCACUUUACAUCUGUCUCUUAUUCUUGGUGGUAAUAAAGUCCCUCCUCUAAUCUGGGAUUGGCUCUCUUUUAAGUCCAGCAGAUGGCAAAACUAACCAGUCCCCUAGUUAGGGUUUUGUACAUUUUUUUUAUAUGGUCCUAUCCACACCUUGAUGUCAUGCACCUUAUUUGCAUUAUUAACUAGCUGUCCAGUCCCUGUAUUGGGGCACAAGCACCUUAUUUGCAUAGUCUCCCUCAAUCAUCUGGUAGAAUUUACAAGACCUUGGCUAGAAAGGCCAUAUGGAAGAAAUCUGUUUCACCACAUUGGGUUACUACAACUAAUGCUGCUUUAAAUAUAUUGGUGUAUGUCUUGUGGUUCAAAUGUGCACUCCUUACGUGGGGAUAUAAACCUCAGGCUUAAAUUGUUAUUUCCAAAUGUAUAUAUAACUUAAACCUAAUAGAUGAUGCCUAAGUGUUUUCUAAAAUGGCCGUACAGCUUUACAGUUACUCCAGCAGCAUAGUCUUCAUUUGAUAGUUAGCGUGUUACGUGGCAUGUUUAAAAUGUAUUUCCAGACUGUAAUGUAAACUUACCUUCUUAAGGCUUCGUUGGUUUGUCCUUCUCACUGAGGCUCACACUUAACCAUGAAUUGAUAGUUUUGCAUGUCGUGAGCCUACAGGUCCUGACUCCCAGGAAGCAAGAGAACCACUUGAAGAAAGUAGGAAGAGAUUAUAGGAUUUGAGUAUUGUCAUUUUGGGGGACAACCUUCAUGGGAGACAGUUUUCUGAACAGAAAAUAGAGCUGAUCCAGAAAACAUGAGGACAGACCAUCCCAGUUGCUGGCGAAUGUCUCAAGAACAAAAGAAAAUGGUCAAGGCGCAGGCAUCACUGACAUUCAUCGACGUGGCUGUAAAGUUCACCUGGGAGGAGUGGCAACUCCUGAACCCUGCUCAGAAGAACCUGUACCGGGACGUGAUGUUGGAGAACUAUCGCAACCUGGUGUCCAUUGGGUGUCAAGUUAGCAAACCAGAUGCACUUUCCAAGUUGGAACGAGGACAACCAUGGACUAUGUUAAUAGACAGAAAUCAUAAUGGAAUCAUUUCAGAAAUCGUGAACAUUGAUCAUCAUCUGCUUGGGUGCUCAGAAAAAGAAAGAAGGGUAGACAGAUUGGAACCAUGCUAUGAGCAUAAUGCAUUGGAAAAUACUGUUUGUCAGCACAAAAAUCAGUUUCCUCUAAGGGAAAAUCAUGCCGUGUUUGACUUACGUGAAAAACCUGUGAAAUCAAAUUUAACUUUACUGGCAGUCAACCAGAGCAAAAGCAAUGAAGUAAAGAAUUCUGCUGAGCUUAAUCGUGAUGAGAAAACCUCUCUCCAUGAUGACUGGGAGCCAUUUUGUACUGAAAUGAAAUUCCUUGAAAGUCAAAAAUCCAACAGCACGAAAUCUCAACACACUCAGCAUCAGAAAACUCACAAAACAGAGAUAUCACAUGUAUGCAGUGACCAUGGGAAAGCUGUCAUCAGGAAGUCUUUCCUCACUGAGCAUCAGGUUAUUCAUUCAGGAGAGAAACGCUAUAGGUGCAGUGUCUGUCGGGAAACCUUCUUUAAAAAGUUCAAGCUCAUUGAACAUCAUCACACGACUCAUAAAGGACAAAAAUCGUAUAAAUGCACAGAAUGUGGCAAAGCCUAUCUGCAUAAAUCACAACUCAAUAAUCAUCAGAAAGCUCACCUGGCAGAGAAACCCUAUAUAUGCCGUGACUGUGGCAAAGGUUUCACCCAGAAGACACAUCUCACUGUUCAUCUGCGAAUCCAUACUGAAGAGAAGCCCUAUAUAUGCGGCGAAUGUGGUAAAAGCUUCAACCAGAAGGGACAUCUCAUUGUUCAUCAGCGAACUCAUACUGGAGAGAAACCCUAUGUAUGCAAUGCAUGUGGGAAAGGCUUCAUCCAGAAAGGAGAUCUCACUAUUCAUCAGCGAACUCAUACUGGAGAGAAACCCUAUGUAUGCAGUGAAUGUGGGAAAAACUUCAGCCACAAGGGAAAUCUCAUUAUUCAUCAGCGGAUUCAUACUGGAGAGAAACCCUAUAUCUGCAGUGAAUGUGGUAAACGAUUCAGCCAGAAGUCACGCCUCAUAGCACAUCAGAGGUUUCACACAGGAAAGAUGCCUUCUUCACGCAGUGAAAAUGGAAACUCUUAUUCCCAAAAUGCAACUCUCAGUAGACAUCGGAAAAUUCACACAGGAGAGAAACCCUUCAAUGCAGUUAAUGUUCGAAAGCCUUUGAAGCAAAGCUAGAGGUCAUUGAACAUCGAAGAUCUCACCCAGGAGAUAUACCGUAUUACUGCAGUGAGUGUGGACAAACUUUUGCCUAUACGUCUUUUGAUCACACGAAAGAAAGAAAGGUGUAGAUUCAGUCAAGUUGGAAGACCUUUCCACAACAAGUCACAGCUCAUACAAAUACCGGUGAUCUCAUGCAAGAGAAAAGCCUGGUUAAUACAGCGACUUUAGAUGCCUUCUGUGGCAGCUGAGACAUCAGUAAACAUCAGUGGGCUCCUAACUAAUACAGACUUCGUCCUUGUGACACAGCGUAUUGCUACAUGUCAAGCCUCAGCAGACAAGAGAGAAUUUGUACAGCAGAGAAGCCUUAUGAAUGCAGUGAACUUGGUGGUGCUUUUCAGUGGUCAAUUUUGUCUUAUUUUAUGGCAAAUAAACUCAGGGCCUCUGGACUGGCCUCCACCCUGCCCAGACAAGUGUUACAAAGCUCUGUUCAUUCUGCCGAUAAUGUGCCCAGAAGCACUGUACUGUCUCAAGCCUGUGAGCAAGAGCCCUGCUGUCCGGCCUGCCGAUCUUGGAUUCAUCUGCUCCUGAGGCUUCAUGAAUCAAGAGAGGCCUCUAUCCUGACCCGCAGACUUGGGGUGUUCUAGCCUCUACAGUUGGCCCAAAGGCACUCAACUUUCUCACUUCUUGGGCCAGUAAACCCAGUGCAUCAUCUCCAGCCAGUCUUUCCUGCCACUGUUUCUCUACCAUCUCUUCUCUCCAUCCUUAGUGUUACAGCUCUCUCUCUCUGUGUCUCCUGGUUCCAGGAGGUUCUCAGCACAGGGAUCCUGGAUCCAAAAGACACACUCCGCUCCUGACGCAUUCUUCCCUGGCAGUGGUGGAAUCUCUGUGCUGAGAAGUUCCUGGAACCAAGAGACCAAGAAAGAGAGCAAGCAGUAACACUUAAGACAGCAAGAAGCAACAGCAGAGACCUGGCAGCAAGAGAUGGCAUGGUGGGCUUCCUGGCCCACAGCACUUGGGUGAAGGCUGAGGGCCAGGGAGAGGCGUGCCUGUGAGCACAGCUGGUUAGAGGCUGUCCUGAUGGAAGAAUUGUAUCCUGAGUAUUCCUGAGCCUGAAUUGUAAUUGUUCCUUCCCUGAUAACCUCCAUGAUUGUGAGUGUUGUCUGUGAGUUCUGUGUGGCCACUGCAAUGAAUUAUCGAACCCAGUACAGAAGUGGAAACCCUGGUGGCAUAGUGGUUAAGAUCAAUGGCUGCUAACCAAAAGGCCAGCAGUUCAAAUCCACCAGGUGCUCCUUGGAAACUCUAUGGGGCGGUUCUACUCUGUUCCAUAGGGUCACUAUGAGUUGGAAUCGACUCGAUGGCAAUAGGUUUGAUUUGUUUUGGUACAGAAGUAGAGUGUGCCGUGGGAGGUACAGUUGGUGUCAGAAUUGGUGAAGAUGGUGGAAAGAGGAGGCAUAUCUGACCUCUGCCUCAUAAGAAUCAGCCUCGGGGUGUUGAUCUUGAUUCUCCUUCCUCCUUUGAAGUUAGAGAAGGUCAGAUGUCACCCCCACACCAUUCUUACAACCAUGGUGAGUAUAGUCUGUGAGAUCUGUGUGGCUAUUGCAAUAAAUCAACCAGCCCAGUAGAGAAGUAUAAAAUACUGUGGGAGGAAUGGCUGGUAUGAGAAAUGGCAAAGAAGUUGAAGAGUGGAGGUAUGUCUGACCUCCACCUCAUAAAAACCAGCUCUGUGCUUAUCCCGAUUCUUAUCCAUUGGGACGUUACCAAAGUCCUGAUGCUAGAUUACACCAAGUCAGAUCAUUCCAUUACCUGAACGGAUCAGUCAGGGUCCCAGGAUAGGAUGACCAGGCCUGCCUUGAGCCCUGCAGACCUGGUGCUGAACUCACCUCUCAAAGGGUUGCUGUCCCAGGUGAAGGAGGCCCAGUGCAUACCUAUACCUGGUACACACAUCCUCUGCUCCCACACCCAGGACUCUCAUGGUCCCAGUGAAGGUCACCCUUCACCUGUCCCCAUGGCCUCAGCCAUGUGAGGCAGUAUAAUCAAGUAGUGGUUAGGAGUGAGUCUUGAAGUCUUACUGCCUGGGUUUGAAACCCGUGUCUCCACUUUUUCUUUAAAAUAAUUAUCUGCCUCAUAGGGUGGUCGUGGAAAGAAGUAAGAACAGCUCCUGGCAAACAGGCAAUUAAUAAUGGUGUUACCGUUUUCAUUAGUCCUUGUGAGGAGAAAGAAUUGAGAACGUAGGGGUAUCUGACCCUAAUCAUAAAUCUAUAGCUUGAUGAAAAUGACUAUUGUCAUCCAACGAGCCAGCAGUAUCCCAUACUGUGUAAUCUUUGUAAUAAUCCUUUGGUAGCCAGUAAGGUGGCAAAUUAAGCAGUAAUUCAGAGCAGUGAAGUAGAGCAAUGAGGACAGAGAAAAGGGAGUGAGCCCAUGUUAUUUCUGAGAUAACAUGAACAGGAACUGGUGCCAAGUGUUAUAAUGACUGCCGCUGAGAAACAGAACGAAGGAGAAGUAAGUGGAGGGCAGUGGUGAUUCAGUGGUAGAAUUCUUGCCUUCCAUGCAGGAGAUGGGGUUCGGCUCCUGCCCAGUACACCUCAGGUGCAGCCACCACCUGUGUCAGUGGAGGCUUGCAUGUUUCUGUGAUACCGAACAAGUUUCAUCAGAGCAUCCUUAACUAAGAUGGAUGAGGAAGAAAUGCCUGGCAACCUGCUUGCCUUUUACUGGUCUCAUCUUUAGUGGCCUUACCACUAUGCCCCACUCCAAAGAUAACCUAGGCUCAUGCCAUCCACUCUUUUGCUCUGUGUUGGCCACUAGUUUCUCCAAACCCUCUUCUGUCCUUAAAGCCACAUCCUGAAAGCCGUUAUCAGUGAGAAUACUUCCGAGGUGCUCCAUUUACCAACUUUUUGCCUUUUGCUUUCCCAGGAGCAUGUCUCUGCUGUACAGACACUUGAACUCCUACUUAGACAUUUACAAUUUUAUUUUCUUAAACAUACUGUUUUAAGGUGGGGCCAUAUUAUUUUUCUGCCCAACCCAUUAUAAGCAGUUCGAUGUGGUCCAUGUUUUUCCUAUGCAGUUUGAGCCUCUUCAGCAAGGGUAGAAGAUCAGGGAAACUGGACAGUUUCAGCGUGCUUUCUCCCUUGGGGGAACUGGCAGGGGAACCACUGACCUGAGCCACCAGCCCUCCUAUGGUCCUUGCCUACAUACCUGAAAACCAAGGCCAUGGUUGUUGACUGGAUUCUGACUCAUAGCGACCCUGUAGGACAGGGUAGAACUGCCCCAUAGGAUUUCCGAAGAGCGGCAUUGUGGAUUUGAACUAUGGACCACUGGUUAGUAGCUGAGUUUUUAACCACUGUGCCAUCAGGAGUCUGCACCUUGCCUAACCCUUUGUCAUGGAGUCUAUUCCGACCCACAGCAAGCGCGCUCUUAACCACUGUGCCAGCAAGGUCCUUCAGUCCCUCCCUAAACCAAACCCAAAGCAAAAACCAUUAAAGUGGAAUCGAUUCAGACUCAUAGCGACCCAACUGUCUGUCCCACAGGGUUUCCACGGAGCGGCUGGUGGAUUCCAACUGCAGACCUUUUGGUUAGCAGUGGAGCUUUUAACUACUGUGCAACCAGUCCUCCUUGCCUAAGCAAAAAAACAAAAACAAAAAACCAAACCC